rnacentral:lncRNA from 1 species
AAGGAUAUUCGUGUAUUCAUCAAUGGUCAUGAUCAUGCCAACAACUGUCCAUCAAUGCACUACGGGCCAAUGAGGACUUUUACCACAUCAUUUGUAACAUUACGGUCAUGAUUAUACCGAAUAAUCCCUGGUCAUAAUCAUACCGAGUCCAUCUAUGCACUACAGGUCAUAGAUGAUUUCAAUAAAAUAUAAACAUGAGGAUGAUGACAAUGAUAUAAGAAUUCAAUAAAACAAGUUCAAGAAUUAAUUUAUCCAGAAACUAAUAACGUCCAAAUUGUCAACAUGAUACUUCUUUGUAGAGUAAAAUUCAAGAAUGCUCAGAAGAAUAUUUCCAUGAAAAGAUACUGGAUGAAGCGCAAAUAUCAAGGAUAUUCCACUAAUUUCAUGGAGUAUAGAAGUCAAAACUUUAACCAAAUGAGUAUAAUAAAGAAUGGAAUAACAAAAGAAAUCACCAGGCAUGUGAUAGACCGCACAUGCAGGUUAUUCCAACAGAAUAAUAAAUAACGGAACCAGGUCCAACGUAAAAGGCACAGACAGGAUAUUCCAACAGAAUAAUAAAGACGGAACCAGAUCCAGCGUAAAACGCACAGACAGGAUAUUCCAACAGAAUAAUAAAGACGGAACCAGGUCCGGCGUAAAACGCAUAGACAGAAUAUUCCAACAGAAUAAUAAAGAAUGGAAUAACAAAAGAAUUUCACCAAGUAUAGGGUAGCCCGCGUAUACAGUUUAUUCCAACAAAAUAAUAAAGAAUGGGAUAACAGAAGUUCUCUUCAUGAAUACAAAAGAAAUAAUACCCCUUACCUUAUAAAGAAGAAACUGGAUAUAGAAGUAGUGAAGUAGCAGAAUAN